AACCAGAGGCUGGACCUCAUAACAACAUAUUUUCUUUAAUUCUUUCAAAACCAUUGAAGUUCAAGCAACUCUUGGAUAUUAUUAAUGCAAACAGGGCCAUAUCAGGGGGGGGGGAACCUGGUGGUCAGGAUUUUUUUCAAAAAGGGGACUAGCAUUGUUUUACUCAACUCUAAAAUAUUAAGCAGGGUUCAUUGUUUAGCAUGAAAUCUAUUUAUUUAAACCCACAAAACUACAGAAACGAACUAUAGAUGUAUUUACUAUUUACAAAUUCUCCAUUUUAGGUUAAAUAUCAAAUGUAAGAUUUGGUAACAUUUGAUGCAGAUUUUUACUGAUUAUUUUUUGGGGAUUUUUGUAAUAUCUCUUUAAUUAAUCAACUAGCUGAAGUGCCCAGCAAUUAAUAAUAGAAUUUUCAAAAACACUUGGGAAAUAAAAAAUUUGAAUUAAAAAAAAUCAAUUAAAUAACUAAAAUCACAAAAGCAUUUUCCCUCCAGGGUACCCACUACCCAUGAGUUUCUUUAAAAAAGCUACAGAUUUCAUUGACCACAGUUCCAAAACUAGAUUAUAAAAAUGUUCUAUUGUAGGAAACAUAACAUUCAAGCUAAAAUUUCAAAAUUUGUGUAUUUUUCCCAUCUGCAAAUCUGCAAACCAACCUUUAUUAAACACCCAGUUAGGGUCCUGCCCUGCCCUAAAUACUUAUUGUUGCAGAAACAAUGAGAGCUCAGCAUUUUGUUCGAACAGGAAUCCUAGUAUGUCUUAUUAUACUGUAUCUAUAUAUAGGAAGUACAUCUGUUGACAAAUUUUUAGCAAAAAAAACUUUAGUGUUCAGUUCUGUUGCUGAUUUUGAAAAAGUGGAAUUUCCUGCAAUUACAUUUUGCAAACUUUACACAUUCAAAGACACAAGUUUGACCAUCAUAGAUCAAGUAAAUAAAUGGAAAAAUGUGUCGGCGGAGGCUUUGAAGAAGUGGGCAAUUGAAAAUACCCAAACAAGAGAUCAGAUUUUUCAUUUCGUUCAGCACAGGAGUGAAUUAAGAAAGUUCCCAUGCGAUAUUGUUGGUUCUCCUUUUAGUAUUACUGGACCGUGUAGUUUCCCAUAUACAUUUUAUGAUUGUGCCCUAACGGAUCCAACUAAUCCAGGAAGAAGUGCACUUUGUGAUUCAUUUAAUGCUCAAGAAAUGCAAACUUUGAACAGUUGCACAAUGACUGAUGAUACCAAGCCUUGGUGUGCUCUCCAUGUCUAUGAUAAUAAAUCAGCAGCUAUAGGCAGUACUUUGGAUGCAUUAUUAUUAAUUUCCUCUGUGACAUAGAGAAAAUAAUAUAUAAAUCCUUGUAUAAUAAAUACUGAUUAUGAUUCCUUGAGUGCUAUUUCCCCUCCCAAUUUAAUAAAAUUCUAAAUUAUAUUCAUAGUUUUAAUCCAUCUAAACCAUAUUUUUUUCUAUAAAUACUAGACCUAGAUCCUAAGCACUGGGUAAAGGUGGAUGGGGCUAUUGUGAUGAAACAUGCAAUGGGGAAUUACCAAACCAGCAGGCACCAGAAUAUAUUGCUAGCUCUGCAUUUGACAGCUUAUGGAACAGAAGGAUUUUUCACUUUAAACCUUGGGAUGCAGGCCAUUGCCACACCUAUUCUCCAAAUGAAACCUAUCUGCCUAACCAUCCUGGGCACUUCUAUGGGUUCUUGGGAGACAACACACUGAACCAAAGUCUCCAUGAGUUUUUUGGAUUUAAUGUCUAUUUACAUUCCUCUAAGCAUUUCUGGGCCUCUGAUGUAAGUGGAAUUGGACAAGCAAAGAAAAUAGUACUGAAUCGGGGAGAAUAUAUAAAGGUUGAGUUUGAGCGUGAAAUAGAAACCCGUCUCCCGGCAGUAUUUAAUUGCAUUGAAGACAAGGAAAGGUUUUUAAUCAGGAAUCUAUUUAACUUUGUUUGUAUCUAAUAAACAUCAAACUCCUGAAUCUAUGGGGCCCAAAAUUUGUGUGGGAACUAACAUGACCCCAGGGAAGGUUUAGGGAUCCUCAGAUUUACAAAAAAAUUGUUUCCAAAAACCUUUGAUUUUUCAUAAAUUUUGAAAAUCCGCAAAAUGUUUUAAUUGGUUUAGUGAAGAGAAAGUUCUGAAAGAUUGAGCAAUAUUAAAAGUUAAAAUAGAAGAUGGGCGCAAUAGCCUUGUAAUCUGAAAACAAUUAAACUCAACAUUUUACUUUAGGAGUACAGUUUUACAGACUGUGUAUUUGAGUAUAUUUUUGAAAAGACAGGAUGCAAACUUGAUUGGUUUUCUGAUGAUGCUUCUGUUCAUGUUCCAUUGUGUGGUAGUGCAGAAGAAAUUAAAAGGCUAAAUGAUUUAAUGGACAAUGUAUCCAAAUGGACUUUUAAAACCAUUUCAGAAAGUUCAGGUAAAUAAAACCCCAAAUUAUUCUAAUCAUUUAACCCUAUCUCUGCUGGGGUACUUGAAAACCAGGAUAUGCUGGGGUGGGGU